GACGAACCGUGCGAACGUUGUUCGGAAUCACUGGGCUUAAAGGGCGCGUAGGCGGCUCUCUUGGUCGUGGGUGAAAUCCCCCAGCUCAACUGGGGGAACUGCCUACGAUACCGGGGGAGCUCGAGGGAGGAAGGGGCGGUCGGAACUGUCGGUGGAGCGGUGAAAUGCGUUGAUAUCGACAGGAACGCCGGUGGCGAAAGCGGACCGCUGGCCCUCUUCUGACGCUGAGGCGCGAAAGCCAGGGGAGCGGAACAGG
rnacentral:rRNA from 1 species